AUUGAACGCUGGCGGCAGGCUUAACACAUGCAAGUCGAGCGGAGAUGAGGUGCUUGCACCUUAUCUUAGCGGCGGACGGGUGAGUAAUGCUUAGGAAUCUGCCUAUUAGUGGGGGACAACAUUCCGAAAGGAAUGCUAAUACCGCAUACGCCCUACGGGGGAAAGCAGGGGAUCUUCGGACCUUGCGCUAAUAGAUGAGCCUAAGUCGGAUUAGCUAGUUGGUGGGGUAAAGGCCUACCAAGGCGACGAUCUGUAGCGGGUCUGAGAGGAUGAUCCGCCACCCUGGGACGGAGACACGGCCCAGACGCCUACGGGAGGCAGCAGUGGGGAAUAUUGGACAAUGGGCGGAAGCCUGAUCCAGCCAUGCCGCGUGUGUGAAGAAGGCCUUUUGGUUGUAAAGCACUUUAAGCGAGGAGGAGGCUACCUGGAUUAAUACUCUAGGAUAGUGGACGUUACUCGCGGAAUAAGCACCGGCUAACUCUGUGCCAGCCGCCGCCGUAAGAC
rnacentral:rRNA from 1 species